GCGGUAUUGGUGGACUAUUAGAUCAUCCUGGACAUUACUACUUGGAUUCUAGGUUGAAGGUAACUUGGGCACUUGGAUUUGUGAUAUUUUGACCUAAGCUUAGUAGCUUGUAUAUGCCCCAUUGGAUCAUCUUGGAUAUUACUACUUGGAUUCUAGGUUGGAGGUAACUUGGGCACUUGGAUUUGUGAUAUUUUGACCUAAGCUUAGUAGCUUGUAUGUGCCCCAUAUAUGGAUAUGAGCAUGGAGAUGAUACAAAUGGAUCGGAGUUGGUAGUCUUUGAUGAUUUUGCUAGCCCUCCCCAUAUUUAUUGGACUUAGAUAACUAUGAUACUAGGUUUGGUUGGAUUAUAAUUAUAAUUUUUGCUAGAUUCCUUUGAAGAUUGAAGCUGGAGAACUUUAGGGUGUAGUAUGAUCAACUUGAGAUAUAUUAGAUUUAUAUAGGUAUAUAUGAUUGGCAUGAGUGUGGUAUUGGUGGACUAUUGGAUCAUCUUGGAUAUCACUACUUGGAUUCUAGGUUGGAGGUAACUUGGGCACUUGGAUUUGUGAUAUUUUUACCUAAGCUUAGUAGCUUGUAUGUGCCCCAUAUGGAUAAGAGCAUGGAGAUGAUACAAAUGGAUCGGAGUUGGUAGACUUUGAUGAUUUUGCUAGCCCUCAUGUGUAUUGGAAUUACACAUAACUAUGAUACUAGGUUUGGUUGGAUCAUAGUUAUGAUUUUGUGCUAGAUUCCUUUGAAGAUUGAAGCACUACUUGGAUUCUAGGUUGGAGGUAACUUGGGCACUUGGAUUUGUGAUAUUUUUACCUGAGCUUAGUAGCUUGUAUGUGCCCCAUAUGGAUAUGAGCAUGGAGAUGAUACAAAUGGAUCGGAGUUGGUAGACUUUGAUGAUUUUGCUAGCCCUCAUGUGUAUUGGACUUAGAUAACUAUGAUACUAGGCUUGGUUGGAUCAUAGUUAUGAUUUGGUGCUAGAUUCCUUUGAAGAUUGAAGCUGGAGAACUUUAGGGUGUAGUAUGAUCAACCUGAGAUAUAUCCGAUUUAUAUAUGUAUAGUAUGAUUGGCAUGGGUGCAGUAUUGGUGGACUUUUGGAUCAUCUUGGAUAUUACUACUUGAAUUCUAUGUUGGAGAUAACUUGGGCACUUGGAUUUGUGAUAUUUUGACCUAAGCUUGGUAGCUUGUAUAUGCUCGAUAUGGAUAUGAGUAUGGAGAUGAUACAAAUGGAUCGGAGUUGGUACCCUUUGAUGAUUUUGCUAACCCUCCCCAAGAAUGUUAUGAGUACAAGAUCAUCAUGGGAGGAUAAUUUGAAUUAAUUAGAAUAGAUGGCAAUUUCAGUGGUAUGUGCCUUUUUGGGGCAACUGAUCUUGCUUUUAUUAUGUGUUGGAUGCAAUAGUAGUUGGAGAGUAUGACUUAUGAAGUGAUAUUAUAUUCUUGGAUAAAUAGAUCUUUAAUAAACCUUGGGUGAUUGUGAUCUUGAAAAAAAUCUCGUGGAUGAUAACUUCUAAUUUUUUUUAUCUAUAGUCAUCAAGUGCAAGCUUGCUUUAUAUUGGAUUUCCAAACCGUGAUACUAAGCUUGGUUGGGUCAUGAUUAUGAUUUGUUCUAGAUUCCCACCUUUGAAGAUUGAACCUGGAGAACUUUUGGGUGUAGUACGAUCAACGUGAGAUAUAUUGAAUUUAUAUAGGUGUAGUACAAUUAGCAUGAUUGUGGAAUUGGUGGACCAUUGGAUCAUCUUGGAUUGAAUUACUUGUAAGGAAACAAAGAUCUUUGAGUAAUAGAAAUGGUGUUUGGUUAGAUGAUAUAACUACUUGGUUUCUAGGUUGGAGAUAAAUUGGGCACUUGGAUUUGUGAUUUUUUUUACCUAAGAUUAGUAGCUUGUAUGUGCCCCAUGUGGAUUCGAGCAUCGAGAUGAUACAAAAGGGAUUGGAAUUGGCAGACUUUGAUAGUUUUGAUGGCCCUCCGUGAGAAUGUUAUGAGUACAUGAUCAUCAUGGAAGGAUGGUUUGGAUUAAUUAGAAUAGAUGGCAAUUUUGUUGGUAUGUUCCUUAUUGGAGCAGCUGAUCUCGAGAAAUGCGCAUCCGACGACUCACCAGAUCCGAACACCGACAACCCUUGUGCUCAUCACUAUAACCUAAAAAGACACACUCAACAUAUUGAUCAGACAAUUUGGUGCGUGAAGAACGUAGCAGAAGCAACCAAACAAACGAAGUGUUUAGUAGUUACGAGAAUGCCACAAAGACGCACGAGAGGAAUAUAACUGUGUAGAGCAGAGGAAGUAUGAAUGUUGAUGAGAUAGGUGGCUACGAUCAUCAACGCACUAUCCGCCUCAUGAAGGUGCCGAUGCUUGCGCUCAGAGCGGCACCAUUCUGAGCCUGAGCACGAGGGUAAGAGAACUGAGCAAGUGUGAUAGCUUGCAUGUGCCCCAUAUGGAUAUGAGCAUGGAGAUGAUACAAAUGGAUCGGAGAUGGUAGACUUUGAUGAUUUUGCUAACCCUCCUCAUAUGUACCGGACUUAGAUAACUACGAUACUAGGCUUGGUUGGAUCGUAGUUACGAUUUGUGCUAGAUUCCUUCCUUUGAAGAUUGAAGCUGGAAAACUUUAGGGUGUAGUAUGAUCAACCUGAGAUAUAUCGGAUUUAUAUAGGUAUAGUAGGAUUAGCAUGACUACGGUAUCGGUGGACUAUUGGGAUCAUCUUGGAAAUGGAUCGGAGAUGGUAGACUUUGAUGAUUUUGCUAACCCUCCUCAUAUGUACCGGACUUAGAUAACUACGAUACUAGGCUUGGUUGGAUCGUAGUUACGAUUUGUGCUAGAUUCCUUCCUUCGAAGAUUGAAGCUGGAAAACUUUAGGGUGUAGUAUGAUCAACCUGAGAUAUAUCGGAUUUAUAUAGGUAUAGUAGGAUUAGCAUGACUACGGUAUCGGUGGACUAUUGGGAUCAUCUUGGAUAUUGCUACUUGGAUUCUAGGUUGGAGAUAACUUGGGCACUUGGAUUUGUGAUAUUUUGACCUAAGCUUAGUAGCUUGUAUGUGCCCCAUAUGGAUACGAGCAUGGAGUUGGUAGACUUUGAUGAUUUUGCUAACAACCCUCCCCCCCACCCCACCCCAAGAAUGUUACGAGUACAAGAUCAUCAUGGGAGGAUGAUUUGGAUUAAUUAGAAUAGAUGGCAAUUUCAAUGGUAUGUGCCUUUUUGGAGCAGCUUAUCUCGCGUUUAUUAUGUCUUUGUGCUAGUUUAGAUGCAAUAGUAGUAGGAGGGGGUAGCAUAGGAGGCACACCUCCCCCUUGCCACCGUCAAGGCCGAAACCUGGCGAGAGGGAGACAUGCAUGAGCGGGUCGGGGCAGAAAGCACAAGGCUGCACUUUAGCAUCUUCAUCGGCACCUCGUUGGGGUCGUCCACCCAUGCCCUGACAACAAAGUACGAGAGGUCGAGCCUGUCGAAGGAUUCAAUGGCCAUAUGGUAGAUUAGGCAUUCGGGCAACAGUUCUUGGGCGGUUUGAGGCGAGAACUCCCGCAGGGGAUGCGUUGGAUGGACAACCCAACGCUGUAGCAGCAUUGAACCGAUGUGGCGAAGGUUAUCUUGUUCGACCGCCACACUAGGAGCAGCGUGCCGCGGUAGUGUACUGCGUCCACCCCACGAACCAUGUCGAACCACCGGUAGUGCGUGAAGCUAGCGAAGAAAGAUCCUAGCUGCAUGAGAGAGACCUGAAAGCCGUUUGUUCGAAAGCUCCGGGAAGUCGUCCUUGAUGCCCUCAACAAUUUUUACCAGGAUUAGAGACGACCUCGUACCCGCCACCAUGAGCACCAGCGCCAAAUCCCAUAGGUAAGAACAUAUCCUCGAUGAGGCACCUCGUCUUGCGCGAGCGGGUGUUGCCCCUCGCUGGGUCGUACGCGAACCUAGCCGACAUGGAAGGCUCCAGCGACGAAGGGGCGGGUGGCUCCUUGUCGGGAAAGGUGAACCUGGAAUGAGUCGGCGAUUCGGGUGGUCGAGGGGUUGGGGGGACCAGCCUGGAUUGGACUGACUAGCGGAGGCGGCGGGGGUGGCAGCUGCACUCACGGCCUUGGCGGUGGUCAAGGCGGGGCUAAGAGUAGUGAUGGACUCAUUAGCGGCGGCCAGGUCAUCAUGGCGGCGCGUGAAGUUCCUUCUGAAGCACAUCCUCUAGCCCAAGUGGUACAUUUGUUCAUUUGUGAUAUGUUCUGUUAGUGUUAUGUUCUCGUUGUCUCUUGCUCUGUUUCUCUUGCCCAUAGGUACAUUUGUUCAUUUUCGUAGACCUGCUAUGUUCUAUUGUAAUUCGAGUUCAAAUGUCAAGUUGCGCCGCCACAAAAUGCUGCUACUUUAACUUCUGUAAGCGCAGCGAGCAGCGUAGGCAGCCGCUGCAGCUGCUCACAUGGAACGUAUGCCUUGUUGCAGCCUCGCAGGUACCCACACCUCUCCCUCCCUCCCUCCCUCCUCUUGAUUUGAUCCCCGUAAAUUCUCAGCUUUAUUUCUGUGGAUUUUUGUUUUAUCUAUGCCUGUUAUGUCUUUGACAAAAUCCAAGCAGAUUGAGGGGAAGAUUUUGUGCUUAGUUUUUUACUCAAGUAUUUCAUCUUUCUCUCAAAUUUAGCUCCAAUGAAUUGAUUUUUUUUGGCAUCACUUUUUUCCCUGGAGAUCAUUAUCAUCUCAUCUCACCACACUCAUGCCACAUAACCUGGCGAGCUCACUCCUUACUCAUUCUAUGUACCACAUUUGUAGAUCAGUUUAAGGUACUGUUAAUGAACCAAAGUUAAUGUUGUUGGCCUUGCCAAAAUGCCAUGCAGCUUAACAUUCGACACUUCCUUCAAAGGGGUCCUUCAGCCUCCAAGGAGAAGGGAAGUGAUGUCUGACAGGGAAAGAAACUAGGCGAAGCUCUGGAUGCUCGAUCGAGUACGCACCCAAUUAGCACUCUACUUCGUCGGUUGUCCACUGAAAUUUGCUCCAUGACAUCUUGCUUGCCAUGUGGUCACCUUACCUCAAAUUUGCUCCAUGACAUCUUGCUUGCCAUGUGGUCACCUUACCUCAAAAUUGACAUAUUAUAAUCUAUGAACUACUACAAGUAAACUAUACAACCAAAUGAUUGUUCCAAAAAUUCAAAUUUGCACCAUGCUUUCCACCUGAUCUGCCAGUUUAACUAUCUUAAUUGUACCGCAGACAUUUGAUGUGUGGUAGUACGUGUGUGAUGAAUCAUGGUGUAGUAGCAAACUACCAACUGAAUGUUUUGACAUACAAUGGAUUUCUUUCUGCCUCUAUUUGAUGCUCGGUGGUGCUGAUCUGAAGGUCCGUGCGGACCCUGCUCUGGACAUAUGUCUCCUUAAUUUCCGUGUGCAAUUGUGCAAUCCAUGCUUUACACUUUAAAAUGAGACAAUAAAAUUUAGCUCAUGUUGCCCUUCCAUCAUGCACCCAGAAUAUAUUACCUUUCUGCUUUUUAUAUUUUGGUUGGGCAUGUUUCAUGAUCAGAGGAUUGAUGAUUUGUUAUGCUAGACAAUGGAAAUAAGAUUUGGUGGAAAACAAAUGAUAUGAUAGGUGAUUUAUGAUGUACUACUAUUUUAGAUAAUAAUACUAAGCUUUUAUUUGGUUGUUCUGCAUUUUUUCCCUUUGCAAAGAUAGAUAUUAUAAGAGAUAAACAUCAUGUACAGGUUAACUUUUUAUGUGCCUAUUAGUAUGCCUUGCUGCCAGGUGGAAAUAGUCUAUAUGAUGCUCAUAAAUAGAGCUUCCUGGUGGGAAGGAUGAGGCACACUCAUUGAUACUUUGGUUUUAUGUCCAUUUGUUAUACAGUUUUUCUCUUCCAAGCAUAUAAACUUUAGCAAAUUAGAGUGUGCAAUCAAGUCUCCUAAGUGAACAGUUUUACCAUAUUAUCAAGUUUGAGGGCAUAUACGACACGAGCAUAUAAGAUAAGAGCAUGUCAUGCUACAUGAAAAUCUGCCUGGAGAUCUAAUUUCGUAUUUUUUUCUAUUUUGUCGGUUAGAAAACCAGUUUCCUGAGUUGUUAGUCUGAGUAUUCAAAUUGAUCCGCAGAGUUCAGGGCUUCUGGAUGGAAGAGUUUCCUACAACGUCAAAAUCUUAGUACUCUCUACAUAGAUUUCGUAAUUUUGCCCGACUUUUUCUGAAGAAUUGUUGAAGUAUCUUUUAUUUGGGUUGGUUGUGCAUUUGCAGUGUUGGAGGUGUUAGUGCAAGAUUGUAGAGUUGGAAAGUAUAGUACAACGUCAAGUCGGUGCAGGGACUUGGUGAAGUCAUCAGCCUCGACUGUGUCUACUUCCCCGAUGGUUUUGACUUCUGACUAGUGAUUCUGAUGCAUAUUACUUGAUGAUUUGGUCUUUGUGGCAGCUUUCAGUUUGAUUUGGCAUUCAGUGGCUUCAUCCUCUUUGGUGCAGCCUGGAGUUAGUAGUGUGCACAUCUGAAUCUCUUGACUUUUUCCUGAAGAUUACGUGGUUUAUGGUGUCUGCUAACUUGCAUGCGGUUUUGAUGGAAUCUGAUCUCGUUUUUAGCUCCCAGUAUAUACAAAAGGCUAGAAGUAAAUGAUGGAAGAUCCUUUUGCUCAAACGAGGGUCCUACUUUCAUACCCAAAGUUUGUAUAGUAGAUAAUCAAAUUUUGGCCUUUAGCUUGCAAAUGUAUCACCUUAUAGAAGUAAAGGUUGCAUCUACAUGAGCUCUGAUUAUCUCCAUAUAUACUUGAAUUGCUUUGGGGUCACGCUUGGAUUUAUCAGACUACCAUUCUACAUACUGUUCUCGAUGAUUGCAUUUGGUUUGUUAAUUUAUGUACCUUAUGUCAAAAAACAUUAUCCAAAAUUAGUUUUUGGUAUACGCAGACUUUGAAAUUUGUUGAUAAAGAAAGAUCACGCCUAAUUUGCUCGCUCUCUGUUGACACUUAACCUGGCCUCCUGACUUUGUAGUUGGAUAAUGUUGAUGACUCGAUAUGCGGAGAGAGGUUAGGAAUUGUUGCUAUGGAUUAAAACAAUGCAGAGUUGAAGGUUCUGAACUGGGAACUUGAACAAAUAGUUUGCCUACCUUUCUUGUGGAAUUGAUUUUUUAGAAGUGAAUGUUCUUCUGGUUGGUGCUUCUUCAGUGGGAUCUGGACCAUGGAAUCUUCAAUUGCAUCUGCUUGGUUCACUGGGAAUUUCCUAGUUUUAAUUUGAUUGACAACUAGCAAAACAGUCCGGCUAAUUUGAUGAUUAAUUCCUGCUGAUUGUACACUUUCAACUCAAGUUCCUGCUGAUUCUACACUUUCAACCCAAGUUACAUUGUACCAUACGCCAGUUUGUUUCAUACCUCGUCCAUCCUGGAUUUUUAGACGCAAAGCAUCUGGAUUUUAAAACAAGAAAUAACAUGUCUUUAACAAAAUUAUUCACACAAAGAUCAUGCCCAAGAUUGAAUCUCUCAUCUUUAAAAUAAAUUUGGACAGCAGGGAUCUCUCAUCUUUACAGUAAAUUUGGACAGCAGGGAUCUCUCAUCUUUACAGUAAAUUUGGAUAGCAGGGAUGAUCAGUAGAAAAGCUAUGAUAGCAAGGAAGUGGUGUUUCUGAACUCGAGCACACAUGUGCUCUUUAUCUGGGCGGUUCGUCAUAGCAUUGGGAUGCGGUGCAUUUACUUUCUGCGUCAGGCUGUUGUUCACUGGAAAAGGGGGAAAUGCAGAAAUACGGCCGACGGGUAUCUUGUAUGGUGGGCCAGGUUUGUGGCGGAGGAGCACCUCCUUUAACGAUUCAAAACAGGGUCGUGGCUCAUGCCGUCAUUCCCGUCCUGAUCCGUGGAUCAGGUUUAGGGCCUCAGUAGCCGAAUAAAUGGAGGGAUGGGUUGCUGGGCAGAGUUCUCUCCUACCUCCGGCUCCUGGUUUUUCCUAUUAUCGAGUGGGGCUAGAUGGGCGGCGGAGCUUCUAUUCGAAGGAAACAAAGGCUAGCGCAGAAGAUGGAAUUUCUGAUGCAAUUGAUUAAAAGAACCACCAUGCUGGAGGACGUUAACGAUGGCAAUGUACUCAUGGAGCCACUACACUGCCAGUGGUCGCAACCGUUGCAGAUCCGCUGCCGCCCAUGGCGGCAGUGAGUGCGGAAGGCCAGAUCUGUUCGGCUGAUGGCGUGGUCGAUACUGAAAUCGAUGGUUUACUGCAAGCAUCUGAGCAGUCGAUUACUCGAUUUGUUAGAUCGACCCAAAAGCCCCAGCAUGGACUCGAAGUGGGGAUCGGUGCUGCCGCACCAGGAAGGUCACCUUGUCCUAAUCGCACUAGUGCACUGGAGAAGGCAAUUCAUGGUUUUGCGGAAAAUCCAGGAGAUGAUGUGAUUGUCCCUGCACUAGGAACAAGCUUUGAUUGUUUGAGUGAAGCCUUCGACUAUUGCCAUGGGACUUCGAUUCUUUUGGGUGAAGCAUAUGACUUUUACAAGCUUCGGUUCUUUGACAAAUCUAUAUUUUAGUAAUCCUCCUUAUUUUCUGAAACUGAUGUAUGGUGGUAUGAUGUACAUUGAAAUGGAUUUCUAAAGUGACAGUAAAUUAGACAACUAUUUUACGAUGUGUAGCCAAAAGCCAAAAGGAUAAUUGCACUAUUAUCAGAAUCAAAUAUGAUUUCAGUCUGGAGAAAA